rnacentral:rRNA from 1 species
GACGAACGCUGGCGGCGUGCUUAACACAUGCAAGUCGAACGGAAAGGCCCUGCUUUUGUGGGGUGCUCGAGUGGCGAACGGGUGUGUAACACGUGAGUAACCUGCCCUUGUCUUUGGGAUAACUUCAGGAAACUGGGGCUAAUACCGGAGAGGAGCUUCUGCUGCAUGGUGGGGGUUGGAAAGUUUCGGCGGUUGGGGAUGGACUCGCGGCUUAUCAGCUUGUUGGUGGGGUAGUGGCUUACCAGGGCUUUGACGGGUAGCCGGCCUGAGAGGGUGACCGGCCACAUUGGGACUGAGAUACGGCCCAGACUCCUACGGGAGGCAGCAGUGGGGAAUAUUGCACAAUGGGCGGAAGCCUGAUGCAGCAACGCCGCGUGCGGGAUGACGGCCUUCGGGUUGUAAACCGCUUUCGCCUGUGACGAAGCGUUAGUGACGGUAAUGGGUAAAGAAGCACCGGCUAACUACGUG